AUUGACAGCUGGCAGCACGCCUAACACAUGCAAGUCGAACGAGUGGCGGACGGGUGAGUAAUGUCUGGGAAACUGCCUGAUGGAGGGGGAUAACUACUGGAAACGGUAGCUAAUACCGCAUCACAUCGGAUGUGCCCAGAUGGGAUUCGCUAGUAGGUGGGGUAAAGGCUCACCUAGGCGACGAUCCCUAGCUGGUCUGAGAGGAUGACCAGCCACACUGGAACUGAGACACGGUCCAGACUCCUACGGGAGGCAGCAGUGGGGAAUAUUGCACAAUGGGCGCAAGCCUGAUGCAGCCAUGCCGCGUGUAUGAAGAAGGCCUUCGGGUUGUAAAGUACUUUCAGCGGGGAGGCGUUACCCGCAGAAGAAGCACCGGAUAACUCUGUGCCAGCCGCCGCGGUAAUUC
rnacentral:rRNA from 1 species